UACGUAGGUGGCAAGCGUUGUCCGGAUUUACUGGGCGUAAAGGGCGUGCAGGCGGUCUGUUAAGUGCAGGGUGAAAGCUCCCGGCUCAACUGGGAGAGGUCCUUGCAUACUGGCGGACUUGAGGGGGGUAGGGGAGACUGGAAUUCCUGGUGUAGCGGUGGAAUGCGCAGAUAUCAGGAGGAACACCGAUGGCGAAGGCAGGUCUCUGGGCCAUUACUGACACUGAGAAGCGAAAGCAUGGGGAGCGAACAGG
rnacentral:rRNA from 1 species